ACUUCCUACGGGGCGCAGCAGUGGGGAAUAUUGGACAAUGGGGGGAACCCUGAUCCAGCGACGCCGCGUGAGUGAAGAAGUAUUUCGGUAUGUAAAGCUCUAUCAGCAGGGAAGAAAAUGACGGUACCUGACUAAGAAGCCCCGGCUAACUACGUGCCAGCAGCCGCGGUAAUACGUAGGGGGCAAGCGUUAUCCGGAAUUACUGGGUGUAAAGGGAGCGUAGACGGUGAUGUAAGUCUGGAGUGAAAGGCGGGGGCCCAACCCCCGGACUGGUCUGGAAACUAUGUG
rnacentral:rRNA from 1 species